rnacentral:rRNA from 1 species
CGGGACUACGGUGAGUAACACGUAAGUCAACCUAGCCUACUCAGAGGGGAACGAACAAGUUAGAAAUGACUGCUAUACCGCAUAUACCUAAGUAUCGCAUGAUACAAUAGGAAAGGAGCAAUCCGCUGAUAGAUGGGCUUGCGUCUGAUUAGAUAGUUGGUGGGGUAACGGGCCUACCAAGUCGACGAUCAGUAGCCGGACUGAGAGGUUGAACGGCCACAUUGGGACUGAGAUACGGCCCAGACUCCUACGGGAGGCAGCAGUCGGGAAUAUUGCGCAAUGGAGGAAACUACUGACGCAGUGACGCCGCGUGCAGGAAGAAGGUUUUCGGAUUGUAAACUGCUUUAGACAGGGAAGAUACAAGACAGUACCUGUAAAAUAAGCUCCGGCUAACUACGUG